CUCUCUCUCUUUCUCUCUCUCUCUGUCUUCUGUCUCUCUCCUUCCAUCUCUCUAGAGAGAGGUUCCAAAGAUACAUGGAUGUGCUUUUGAGAGCAGGCGACCAGCAUGGUGAAAACAAUCCAGGGCUGUGUUGGAGAGUGGGGGUAGGAGCCGCCCCAGAAUGAGAUUGAACCUGUAGAGCUACCUGCUGGCUGAAGUUGUCACCCACAGAGCACAUCAUGUAUCUCUGCCUGGCCGCCUUACCUGAUGCCAUCUCACUGCCAGGAAACAAGUUUCCCAAAGCUUAUUUCAGUGCCAGUCCCUUGGAAGACACAUUCGAGGCAUGGGCAUUCCCAGACCCUGAGCAAGCCUUGUGGCAUACAGCCUGUCCCCGAAGGAGCUAGAGCUGAAGGUGGAACUGUUUGAUCAGGCUCUUCUGGAAGCUCCAGCCCACAGAUGUUGUCUUGAUUACCUAUCAGAAUGAACAAUGGCAGAAUUCACCCAAGGCUUUGUCCACACGGGGCACUGGAGAGAAAAACUUCUGGCCGGACUAUCUGUCUCUGUCUGCCUCAUCCUCCUUACCUCACCAUCUCUGCCUUUCAUCUUUAAAGAUGGCUGCAGUUACAGACUCUCAGAGCUGGGAAGGACCUCCAAAGGCCUCAGAACUUACCGCCAUCCUUUGUAGAUAAGGGACAUGCUACUCAGAGAUUGUGACUCAGCCGUGGCCACAUAGCCAGUGCAAGAACCAGCUGGGACCAGAUCAUAGACUUGGCCUCCCAGGCUGGAGCUUUUCAGUCUCCCAGCUACCUCUCAGAACAUGCCGAAUUAUUCCUACAGUCAUCUAAUAGAGCAAGAGGCCAUGGCAGGCACUGGAGUCUUAGCCUCCCCUCUCUACCAGAGAGACAAGAGAGCCUAUUCCAGACAAGCCAUCUUCUCAGCCAUGGGAUGUCUUAUACUGUCUGUGCUCAGGAGGACAGAGACAGGCCCUCAGAAUUGUCAUUUGCCUUCUUUCCAUGGGAACAACUGUCCCAACUUAGCUUCAGACUUGUGGUCUCCAGAUCAACCCUUCCUGACCAGCCUCAAGGCAGGGUGGCUUGUUCUCCAGAGCUACUUCAUAUCCAUUCUGGUCAUGGCACAAGGAGGCUGGAACUCUAGUGGGAAGUCUGACAAGACCUUGGGCUGGUUUAUAGGCACCUGCCAGCAGUGUCAGCUGCUCAACUGUGGCCCCCAUCACAAAGCCACAAAUUCUAGCCACCCCAGGGAGUCCUCUGCCUCCUCCUAAGCCUCCAUGGGCAGAUUUUCAGUCAUUCAGUGGGUUGCUUUUUCCCAGGUCAUCCUUUGCAGAAGUAAUGUAUUGAAUAUUAUUCAUGCUCUAAAAAGAAUGAAAUUCUGGCACAGGUUACAUUAAUGAACUUGAGGGCACCAACCUAAGUGAAAUAAGUCAGACACAAAAGGACAUGAACUGUAUGGUCCUGUUAACAUGAGAUACCCUGAGUGGCCCAAAUAACAGGGGCAGAAAGAACAACUGUUCCCAGGGACUACGAGAGGAGGACUCAGUGUUUGGUGUCAGUUGGAGAAGAUGAAGAAGUCCUGGAGAUGGCUGGUGGCAAUGGCUACAGAAGAAUAUGGAUGUAUUCAUGGCUCCAAACUGUACACUUAAAAAUGACUGUCACAUGGAUGGGGGCAACUCAGUUGGUAAAACACAGACAUAAGACCCACACAAAAGCUUGGCAUGGUGGAACACUCCUGUAGUCCCAGUUCUGGGGGUACAGACAGUAAGAUCCCUGAAGCUUGCUGGACAGCCAGUCUAGCUGUAAGCCUAAGGUUCUGAGAGUCCCUAGCUCAAAAAAUGAGGUGGCACGUUGGAGAGAUGGCUCAGCAGUUAGGAGCACUUACUGCCUUUGUAGAGGACACAGGUUUGAUGAUAAAGCACCAACACCAGCUGCCUCACAACUGCCUGUAGCUCCAGUUCCAGGGGCACCAUGCCCUCUGGCCUCCUGGGGUACUCAGAAACUCAUGAGAGCGCACGUGCUGUGAUUUGAAUAGGAAUGGACUCCGUAGAAUCGGGUGUUUGAAUGCUUGAGCACAGGGAGUGACACUAUUAGUGUGGCCUUGCUGAAAGUGUUACUGUGGGGGUGGGCUUCGAG
ensembl:lincRNA